rnacentral:hammerhead_ribozyme from 1 species
AUCCAGAUAACGAGUCCAAAAUAGGACGAAAUGCACGUUAUCCUGGAU